rnacentral:rRNA from 1 species
GACGCGAUAACCAGCCCACCACGGCACGUUGUGAGGUCACCCACAGGCUCAACUUUCGAUUGUGAUCCUUGACGCCGAGCAAGCUUAUGCGUGUCGCAUAUGUUCCUAACCAGGCAACGGUGCCAGGACUGUGGAACGACACGUGCUUAACAGUCAGGAUCGGGCGAUGACAGAGUACUGGUACGAUCCUCUUGUGACGAGCCGGCUUCUGGCCGAAUUCUGAUGCACAGGUCUCCCGCAUGUGCCGCGGGAGAUCGCCUUGGCGGUCUGGAGCUUAUACAAGUCCUCUCAGCCGGGCGUCGGAAAGAGUGGUGUAAAGUCCAAGCCCAUCGGUCACGUCUCGAAACACGGGCCAAGGAGUAUAGCAUGUGUGCAAGUCUAAGAGUCUCACAAAACUUGAAGGCAAAGUGAAAGCAAGUAAGCGGCGGGUGAUCUACGGAGAGAUCCCGUCAGCUAGAGGGUCCUUCGGGGCCCUCCGGCUUUGGCAGAGUUGAUCCUGCAGCGGUAACGCUCAGGCGCAAACUCCAGGCUCACGUUUCGCACUGGUUUUCGGACUGUGCUGUGAGCACUGUGGAGCAGACAUGUUAUGACCCGAAAGAUAGUGAACUAUGCCUGGCGAGGGCGAAGCCCCAGGAAACUGGGGUGGAGGCCCGUAGCCGUUGUGACGUGCAAAUCC